AUGGACGAGAUUCGUGCCUUGUUGCUCAACCACUCUUCUUCCACUUCGUCCUACUCAAGACGGAGCCGCUCAAGUCGACAAUCCGACGACACCAUCUCUGGCUCAAGUACUCCGACAUCAAACACUCUUCGACGAGCCGCGCGCCAAGACCAUCAAGCAAACGUCAAUCCUCUACACGACAACGACCCUCAAGAGCAAGCUCGCGCGCAAGGACAUCGACACCACCAAAACCAAGCUACUUUAGCGCAAGCACAAGAACGGCAGCGCCAACACCGACAAGAAGAGGAAGAACGAGCGCAUAAACACCAAGAUGCACAAGAUGCUAAGGCACAACGCCAAGAACAACAACUACGAAAGCUCAAGCACUUGAGGCACAACGUGCCCUCCGUUAUUCAAGUUGAGCCAUAG
rnacentral:rRNA from 1 species